GGAUGUGAGGGCGAUCUGCCUGCGACAUCUGUCACCCCACUGAUUGCCAGGUUUGAUUUGGCUGAUCUGGCUGGCUAGGUAGGUGUCCCCUUCCUCCUUCACAGCUCCAUGUGCAUCCCUCCUGAAGCUGCACGCUUGGUUGAAGAGGAUUUACCUUCCCCCACAGAGGAGGACCAUUCUUCGGUCAAGGGUAUACAAGUAGCUGUGCUCCCCUGCUAGAACCUCCAAACAAGCUCUCAAAGAGUUUGAGAUCAACAGCUUGGAAGUACUCUUAUUAUCAGUGACAAAGGAAAGCAACCUCUUC
rnacentral:snRNA from 1 species